ACUCCUCACAAUAACCGUAUCCCAUUCAGAGACACCACAGCUCUCUGUGAGGGAUAAAUAAGAUUUAGCUGGCAGAGCUAGAUAAUGAUCCACUCAGCAUGAGAGCUCAGUGCUCCUCAUCUCCAUCUCAUCUCCUGCCUCUCUCACUGUGCUGCUGUGACGUCAGUAUUGUACUUCACUAAUGAAGAGGACUUCAGUAAAGAUCUAUACUAGAACAUUCUCACAACAGGCAUAUUCUUGCUCUAGGGGGGGUUUUCAUAUCAAAGCACAGAUAAACGGAUAAAUCCAAGUGUGUGUGUGACUAACUGUGUGUGUGAGAUUCAAAGAGCUGAGCAGGCAGCCUAUGUCUUUGGUGUACUAUUGCUUUCAUUUAAGCCCGGGAGAGAGAAGCUAGCCUGCCCGGGAGAGAGAAGCUAGCCUGCCCGGGAGAGAGAAGCUAGCCUGCCCGGGAGAGAGAAGAUAGCCUGCCCCCCUGAGGCAUGUGACAACACAAUGGUUUAAUGAUCUGUGUCUGUUCUGCUGCUGCUAGUUUGUGAGACUGCUGCAGCACAGAGUGCUGAAUACAGGCAGUCAAGCUGGCCUGGCCAGUAGAAAUACACUGUAAGUCAGUGUUUCUCAGAGUGCUGAAUACAGGCAGGCAGCAGAUUCUCUGGCCUGGCCAGGAGAAAUACACUGUAAGUCAGUGUUUCUCAGAGUGCUGAAUACAGGCAGUUCAGCAAGCAGCAGAUUCUCUGGCCUGGCCAGGAGAAAUACACUGUAAGUCAGUGUUUCUCAGAGUGCUGAAUACAGGCAGGCAGCAAGCAGCAGAUUCUCUGGCCUGGCCAGUAGAAAUACACUGUAAGUCAGUGUUUCUCAGAGUGCUGAAUACAGGCAGGCAGCAGAUUCUCUGGCCUGGCCAGGAGAGAUACAUUAUGUCAGUGUUUCUCAGAGUGCUGAAUACAGGCAGGCAGCAGAUUCUCUGGCCUGGCCAGGAGAGAUACAUUAUGUCAGUGUUUCUCAGCCUGUUCCUCUGGGAGUGGGAGAUCCCUAGUUGUUCCACCACUAGUCAACUAGCCCAAUGCUCAAGCCCUUGACUAGUUGUGUGACGUGAGCUAGCUAGGUCAAAAAUGUGGAGCGGCAGGAUGUUUCCAAGGAACACAGAUGAAAUGGAGAAACCCACUGCUACAUAGACCUAACAGGAAUGUGGUGGUCGCCCCAGCAGUGCUGUCCCAUCCAGUCACGUAGACCUGAGUUGAGGAGAAACACCCUGAAAGUGAUCUGUAAGGCAAGCCUUCCUGGCCUGCUGGGGCCUCAGUCAGUGGAAUGGCAGAAGUGUGCUUUACUGCCUUCCUUGGAGAUGACCUGAGGUCAGGUCUAACUGUAGCGGAUGAACAGAGGUCAGGUCUAACUGUAGCGGAUGAACAGAGGUCAGGUCUAACUGUAGCGGAUGAACAGAGGUCAGGUCUAACUGUAGCGGAUGAACAGAGGUCAGGUCUAACUGUAGCGGAUGAACAGAGGUCAGGUCUAACUGUAGCGGAUGAACAGAGGUCAGGUCUAACUGUAGCGGAUGAACAGAGGUCAGGUCUAACUGUAGCGGAUGAACAGAGGGUCAGGUCUAACUGUAGCGGAUGAACAGAGGUCAGGUCCAACUGUAGCGGAUGAACAGAGGUCAGGUCCAACUGUAGCGGAUGAACAGAGGUCAGGUCCAACUGUAGCGGAUGAACAGAGGUCAGGUCCAACUGUAGCGGAUGAACAGAGAGUCAGGUCCAACUGUAGCGGAUGAACAGAGAGUCAGGUCCAACUGUAGCGGAUGAACAGAGAGUCAGGUCCAACUGUAGCGGAUGAACAGAGGUCAGGUCUAACUGUAGCGGAUGAACAGAGGUCAGGUCUAACUGGAGCGGAUGAACAGAGGUCAGGUCUAACUGGAGCGGAUGAACAGACAUGGUUGGAUUUCCUGUUCAGACUACUGGUUGUUUCCUUGUCUUCUGCACCUGUUUUGGUCAAUAGUGAACAUACUCUCCCCCCCCCCACACACUCACACACACACACACUCCCCCACACACACACACUCCCCCACCACACACACAGCGUUAAUCCCUGGCUUCUGAUCUGCGUGUAGUCUUUCAUGUAAAGCCAGCCCUGUGAUGCCUGGUAACCCGAUACAGCCGCUAUUGAUGGUGAUGCUGUUGAUAUUCAGGAGAGGAGAGCAGCCUGCCAUGUUGCUCUCCCUGGUUGGUCCUGGGAUGCUGCUGUGUGGUCUGGGCUGAUAGGUGGAAGGCCCAUUAUCAAAAAUAUUGUUUGGCUUUGGAUGAUUUAAACAGUCUGGGCCUGGGCUAUAGGGCCUGGGCUAUAGGGCCUGGGCUAUAGGGCCUGGGCUAUAGGGCCUGGG
rnacentral:lncRNA from 1 species